AUUGAACGCUGGCGGCAUGAUUUACACAUGCAAGUCGAACGGUAACAGGCCGCCAGGUGCUGACGAGUGGCGAACGGGUGAGUAAUGCAUCGGAACGUGCCCAGUCGUGGGGGAUAACUACCCGAAAGAGUAGCUAAUACCGCAUACGACCUAUGGAUGAAAGCGGGGGACCGUAAGGCCUCGCGCGAUUGGAGCGGCCGAUGUCAGAUUAGGUAGUUGGGGGGGUAAAGGCUCACCAAGCCAAAGAUCUGAAGAUGGUCUGAGAGGACGGCCAACCACACUGUGACUGAGAAAGGGCCCAGACUCCGACGGGGGGAAGCGGUGGGGAAUUUUGGACGAUGGGGCCAAGCCUAAUCCUGCAAUGCCGCGUGCAGGAAGAAGCCCUUCGGGUUGUAAACUGCUUUUGUACGGAGCGAAACGGCUCUGGUUAAUACCCGGGGCUAAUGACGGUACCUUAAGAAUAAGCACCGGCUAACUACGUG
rnacentral:rRNA from 1 species